CUCCCCAGGGUCUUCCCACACAGUUUUCUCUGCUGAAAAUACCCGUCCCUUCAUGUCUUCCCCAGCUAAGUCUUACUCAUCCUGUGGGUAUCAUGAGUCCAAAUAACUUGUGGUUUUGCAAAAAUGCUGGGUUAUUUAUGCAACCAUUCCUUGCUAUUUUUUAUCUUUUUUUAUUUGAAAUAGUUUCUCCUCCCCGCCCCACCCGCCACCCAAUAUUGUGUUACUCUGUCUUAAAGAACUCGGUUCAUCAGUGUUCUCAUUCUGAACACUUUCUGAAAGUCUUAAGCUGACGUGGAAAGCCUCCUCUAUGUUCCCAUGGAUUUUCAUCUUCUCUGCCUACUUCGUGCCAGUGAAAGACCCCAGGGAGCCUUUUCCGUGCUGAAUUUCUCCGUACUCGUGAAAGUAUUAGCCAGCCACAUUCAUUCAGUAAACAGUCCGGUAGGAAUGCAGUGCUGCCUUCCCUGGGAAUUUAGUUUUAAAAGUCAGAACUUGGCUUUUAUUGCUCACAAUUAAUUAUGUUCUCCAGUGACCCACAGGACAGAAAUCGUAAGGACCACUUGCUUAAAUGAACUUAUAUUUACAUCUCCUCAGAGUAAAAGUAUUUUGGAUGAAUCUGAGUUUUGCUAGAUUUUAUUUUUUGAGAUUGGAAGACGGAUCUAGAAGGGGAGAAAUGAACUGUUUUGUUUUGCUUAUUAUUGUUUUUGCUUCAAUAACGUCCUACUUCUACGGCUCUUAAGCAAAACUCUCUGCUUGUCCGUGGUAUUCUUCACUGCCUCUGAGCCUACCCGGAGCCCUGCUGAGCAGUCUUCACGGGGUCACAAGGCCGGUGUCUCUUUCUGCCCAUGACAGAGGCCCUGGAGCUUCCUGCAGGAAGAGUUCCUGGGGACAGCAUUUCUCCCAGGGGUGGUGGGAGCGAGCGGUUUUCAUCAGGCAGCCCCACCAUGUGGCUGGUGUUGGCAAAAUGCUCCACCAUAACUGCUUCAGUGACCCCCUUCACUGUCUCCACUACUGAGGAACAAUUAGAACGGACACAAACAAGAACCAGACGCCACAGGAUGAGGACUCAGCACAGAGGAAAUGGUGGGGCCUACUGA
ensembl:lncRNA